rnacentral:lncRNA from 1 species
GGAGUGAUACAAUCAUGACCCUUGCAACAAAUCAAGUAAGCAAAGUGUCACGGGAUUUGCUCUAAUACAAAAAAAAGAUGAAAUGGAAAGAAUAAAAAUCAAAAGCAAAUCAAAAGCCCGCUAAGUCAAAAGCUUAAAAACAAGUGACUUAGGCAAAAGUUAGGCAAUCCCGGUGGACUGCAAACCCAAAUGAUCAGUCCAGGAAAAAAUAAGGGAAAG